CAGUAUCUGUCUGUGGUGGUAAAUAAACAGCCACGAAAAGUAUAGCUGAGAACUCUCUAGGCAAGUAGCGUGGCCUGCAGUUUAUCACAAUAUAGUCUACUUCAGUCGAGCAAAAUCUAAAGACUUCCUUAGAUUUCGUGCACAAGCUGGUCUUACCGGAGUGUGCGCUUCUAUCUUGCAGGUGCAGGGUGUAUCGCGCGAGCUGAAUAUCCAUGUCGUCAUUCAGCCACGAUUCGGUGAAGCAUAGGAUAUUACAGCUUUUGAUGUCCCGUUGGUACGAUAUUCAUGAUCUUACUCGUCUAGUUUAUUGUCCAAUGAUUGCACGUUGGCAAGUAGUAUUGACGGUAACGGCAGCUUUCCUAGUUGUCUUCUGCGGGUCCGGGGGAGGCAUCCGGCUCUUCGUCAUCUGUGUCGCUUCCUUUUGCGAAUAAUUGGGAUGUCUGCCCUGUGGGUUGUUUGGAGAAUAUCGUUUGAGUCCUGGUUAUUGUUGUUGUUGUUGAAGAAAUGUUCGUCCAAUCCGAGGUGGAUAUCACAACCCCAGCAGUACCAGGAUUGGAGGAAAGCCUGCUCUAUAGUCGAUCUUACUGUAAAGCUCUCUCUCUAGUGGUGCGCUGCCUUAAUCGACAUCCACGUCAUCAGCGCCCAGGGAGAAGUUGUUGGGCAGAACAGCAGAUUUUGCCACAUCUGGGACUCUCUCUCAAAACAAAAGUGAAAUAAACAAUUAAAUAUGAACGGUAAACAUAACACUCACAAAGAGCACUGUUCCAUCCCACUAAUAAAUUGUUUCUGUUCAA